rnacentral:rRNA from 1 species
ACUGGGCGUAAAGCGUACGUAGGCGGAUUAGUCAGUCAGAGGUGAAAUCCCAGGGCUCAACCCUGGAACUGCCUUUUGAUACUGCUAGUCUUGAGUUCGAGAGAGGUGAGUGGAAUUCCCAAGUGUAGAGGUGAAAUUCGUAGAUAUUUGGAGGAACACCAGUGGCGAAGGCGGCUCACUGGCUCGAUACUGACGCUGAGGUACGAAAGUGUGGGGAGCAAACAGGAUUAGAUACCCUGGUAG